AGUGAACGCUGGCGGUAGGCCUAACACAUGCAAGUCGAACGGCAGCACAGUAAGAGCUUGCUCUUACGGGUGGCGAGUGGCGGACGGGUGAGGAAUACAUCGGAUUCUACUUUUUCGUGGGGGAUAACGUAGGGAAACUUACGCUAAUACCGCAUACGUCCUACGGGUUAAUGCAGGGGAUCUUCGGACCUUUCGCGAUUGAUUGAGCCGAUGUCGGAUUAGCUAGUUGGCGGGGUAAAGGCCCACCAAGGCGACGAUCCGUAGCUGGCCUGAGAGGAUGAUCGGCCACACUGGAACUGAGACACGGUCCAGACUCCUACGGGAGGCAGCAGUAGGGAAUAUUGCGCAAUGGGCGAAAGCCUGACCGAGCCAUGCCGCGUGGGUGAAGAAGGCCUUCGGGUUGUAAAGCCCUUUUAUUGGGAAAGAAAAGAAGCAGAUUAAACCGCGCAUGUUCUGACGGUACCCAAACAAUAAGCCACGGCUAACUUCGUG
rnacentral:rRNA from 1 species